rnacentral:siRNA from 1 species
AGCAUGCCUCAUCAUCUUAAUGAU